rnacentral:rRNA from 1 species
UACGUAGGGCGCAAGCGUUGUCCGGAAUUAUUGGGCGUAAAGAGCUCGUAGGCGGCUUGUCACGUCGGGUGUGAAAGCCCGGGGCUUAACCCCGGGUCUGCAUUCGAUACGGGCAGGCUAGAGUGUGGUAGGGGAGAUCGGAAUUCCUGGUGUAGCGGUGAAAUGCGCAGAUAUCAGGAGGAACACCGGUGGCGAAGGCAGGUCUCUGGAACGCAACUGACGCUGAGACGCGAAAGCGUGGGGAGCAAACAGG